rnacentral:lncRNA from 1 species
CCGAAUGAAUGUAAUCGGCCAUUUAUGAACGUAAUCGGUCGUUCUGGUUGAUUUCAUGUGAAUCUCAAAACCGAGUUGUGUCGGUCAUAUUUGACUGUGUUUAUCCCUUUAAGCCCCGACCCAUAUACUCGGGUAAUAUCUUUUUAAAUAUCUCCCAUUCAGAGCCCUAGUGAAUUCUUCCCCCUCUAUUGUCUCCAAAAUAUACGCAUUCCCCGGAGCGCAUCUGCCGAUUCUAUACGGCCCUUCCCAGGUAGGAGACCAUUUGCCGAAUUUAGGAUCUUUCGACCCGAUCGGUAGUACCAACUUCCAUACCAAAUCUCCAGGGGAGAACUGUUUGACUUUGACCUUUUUAUCAUACCACCUGGC